CAGCAGCCACGGUAAAACGAAGGGGGCUAGCGUUGUUCGGAUUGACUGGGCGUAAAGGGCGCGUAGGCGGACUGAUAAGUCAGGGGUGAAAUCCCAAGGCUCAACCUUGGAACUGCCUUUGAUACUGUUUGUCUUGAGUUCGAGAGAGGUAAGUGGAACUGCGAGUGUAGAGGUGAAAUUCGUAGAUAUUCGCAAGAACACCAGUGGCGAAGGCGGCUCUCUGGCUUGUAACUGACGCUGAGGCUCGAAAGCGUGGGGAGCAAACAGGAUUAGAUACCCGUGUAGUCCCUGUCUCUUAUAC
rnacentral:rRNA from 1 species